rnacentral:lncRNA from 1 species
AAGGAAAGUAAGACAACAUUAAAACAUGAGGGAAAAUACAAAAACUAUGACCUCUUGUGUUUUAGAAAUUGAAAUUUAAGGUUAAGUUAAGUUAAGUUAUUUAAUAUUAUAUAAAUUAACCGUAGUUGCACGGGAUUCGAACCGUUACCCGGUCUGACUGCAUUGAUAUCAGCAUCGUAAGCGGGAGCAUUAUCCCCACUGCUACCGGGGUUAACAUUAACAAUUGGCAAAUCAAGCCAUUUAAACUGUACUUUGAAAAUGAUUUAAAUAUAUGAAAUAAUUCAUUAAAAAUCAUGAUAAAACUAAAGAGGGGGGUCUCAACACUUGCAGGUGCGUGUAGCUCACAGCUUAAGGAUAUGAGGAAAAGUAAAUGUGUUUUAUAAAUCACAAGUCUACUACCAAUAAUUAUGCACACUUUUUAAAAUUUCGUAAAAUUUUCGUUUUUGUACCUUUUCGCAUGGACUGGCUCAUAUAAUAUGCAUUGA